UGAGGAAUUUUGCGCAAUGGACGAAAGUCUGACGCAGCAACACCGUGUGAGGGAUGAAGCAUUUCGGUGUGUAAACCUCUGUCGAUGGUGAAUAAAGCAUUUGGGAGUGGAAAGCCCAGGUGUUGAAUGUAGCCAUGAAGGAAGCACCGGCUAACUCUGUGCCAGCAGCCGCGGUAAUACAGGGGGUGCAAGCGUUGUUCGGAAUCACUGGGCGUAAAGGGAGCGUAGGCGGAGCCGCAAGUCAGGGGUCAAAUCUCCGGGCUCAACCCGGAACUUGCCUUUGAGACUGCGGUUCUUGAGUAUGGUAGAGGUUAGUGGAAUUUCCGGUGUAGCGGUGGAAUGCGUAGAGAUCGGAAAGAACACCAGAGGCGAAGGCGACUAACUGGACCAAUACUGACGCUGAGGCUCGAAAGCGUGGAGAGCAAACA
rnacentral:rRNA from 1 species